rnacentral:sRNA from 1 species
AAGGGAGUGAAUGUGCA